AGGGAGUUCAGUUUACCUUGCGUGACGUUGUAAUUUUCGGCAAAAUCGGCAUAAAAUUGACAAUUUUCAACUCGCGAUAAAAUUUAAUGAAUUCUGAUAAAAAAUUUUCACACCUAUGUUGUAUAGGACUAAAUCUUUUAACCAGUGUAAAUAUUGUUCCGUAUUAAAUAUUUCAUUAUUUUUCAUGUAGUUUAUGUAAGCUCUCCAAAACGUCUUUCAAUACCAUUUAAACUCGGAUGCUAGUUUACCUCCCGUUUUGCAUGAGUCGCGUUGUUUCAUUGGCUUUCCGCGAGCUAUAGUUGAAGAUAUUGAUCAAAUCAGCCAAUGAGAAGAAAGCUUAUAAAUCGGAGUUUCGAAUGGUACCUGAAUCCCCGUAUUCCAUAGUAAACAAAGCGGAGAGCCGGCACGUUUUUGUACAAAUCGUGUAUUUCUGAUGGAAUAUUACGCAGUGCGCCCCGGACAGCCCAGUGAAAACGACCUCCCCGGCGAGACUGGGCGCCGACAUACAGUAGAAAACGAAAACGCGUCAUGAUUGGGGGAGACAGGCGACGACCAUGGCAAGUUUGCUUUAUAAUAUUUUACACCUUAUUAACCAAUUAUAGUCGAAUUAAUAUUUAUAUUAAUGAUAAUGGCAUUUUAUGCAUUGAAGAUCAGUAUUAAACUGAGAAAAAUUCGAAUUUCCUCGACGUGGUCUUUUUUUUUUUUAAUGUGUCAAAUGCUGACGAAAUAAACUAAUUGGAUACAAUUUUAUAAUGAAAUAAAUUAGAUAAUAGAUUAAUUUUGUGAAAAAAUGUUUUGUUGCACCCUACUUUUAUAUUUUCAGAACAUUGUUUGCUACCAAUGCUGGUCAACAUGCAACACCUUCAGUGUCACAUCUGGUUGGCAUAGAAACUAAAUGGAAGAACUGUUGAGCCAUAUUUAUUGUAAAAUUUGCUGACAAAUUGUAAAUUUUCAAAUCUGUGUUGAUUUCUGGACACUGAAUUUUCUGAAAUGGUGUUGAAUAGAAUAUAUAAAAUGAAAUUUUUAAUUAAAGUCAGUAAUUAUACUUAA